rnacentral:rRNA from 1 species
AGUGAACGCUGGCGGUAGGCCUAACACAUCCAAGUCGAACGGCAGCACAGUAAGAGCUUGCUCUUACGGGUGGCGAGUGGCGGACGGGUGAGGAAUACAUCGGAAUCUACUUUUUCGUGGGGGAUAACGUAGGGAAACUUACGCUAAUACCGCAUACGACCUACGGGUGAAAGCAGGGGAUCUUCGGACCUUGCGCGAUUGAAUGAGCCGAUGUCGGAUUAGCUAGUUGGCGGGGUAAAGGCCCACCAAGGCGACGAUCCGUAGCUGGUCUGAGAGGAUGAUCAGCCACACUGGAACUGAGACACGGUCCAGACUCCUACGGGAGGCAGCAGUGGGGAAUAUUGGACAAUGGGGGAAAGCCUGAUACAGCAAUACCGCGUGAGUGAAGAAGGACUUCGGGUUGUAAAGCCCUUUUGUUGGGAAAGAAAAGCAGCAGGUUAAUACCCCGCUGUUCUGACGGUACCCAAAGAAUAAGCACCGGCUAACUUCGUG